CCCGCUACCCCAUCGGAUACUCACCACCUUUAAGUCGUCGAUUUCCCUCAUGCUUCUUAAGUCGUCGGACCAAUCACUACCACCUACGUCUUUCUAUCUAGGGUUCGUCCAUGCUCUGGCAAACUACAGACGAUGGUUGGAUAGAGAAAUAGAAAUAUAUAGAUUUCAAGAUUUUUCUCUUUGCUAUCUUCUUCCUAAUUGUUAGAUAUUUUUUCUCGACAGCUUAAUUUUUCAUGUAAUUGUUGAUUCCGUUCUUCAUCUACUUAUUUCCUUCACUUCUUUUUCUAUUUAGUUAGUAGUAAUCUGAAUGCGGUGUACAUGUGUAGGCUAUGAAGGAUAUGUAUGGCGCAUGGGUAAGGGACGAGCACGAUGGGGUGGAGGAAUGUCAGUCAAAAUGUCGCAUGCCUUAUGUUUGGUGGUUAAUGACGUAAAGAAGGUGAUCGGGACUAGGGAAGAUUGGUUUCAAUUUUAUUGUUGAUCAGGUGCGAUGGUGUCACCAAACCCGUACUUCAUGUAUUCGAUGAAAAACCUAGUUGAAGUAGACAAUGUUUAAAAACAACACUUUAACAUUUUUUCCUUCAGCUUUAAUAUCUUGAAAUUGAAGGCCUACAAGACCAAAACACCAAUUUAUGUUAUCCUUUCAGCAGAGACUGAGGAAAACCGAAAAAGAAAACCAUAUUGUGAGGGAGAGAACACAACGCUACCAUGAACAAAACAAGGAAGAGGU